CUUUUGCAAGAUCUUCAUCUGAGAUGGUAUCUGGUAUCAUUUUCAUAUCUGACAUAAUAAUAACGACGAAAAAGAGAUGAGAGAAGCAAGACAAGACAUUGGAAAUGAGAGAGAUGCAGGGCAAGUGAUUGAACGAGAUAGAGGCGAAAGGUAAAAGAGAGAUGAAAGAAGAAAAAACUAGACAGAGAAGAAAGAUGAGGGAGGACAGACAAUAGACUAGAGAGAUACGAAACCAGAUAUUAGUGAGAGAUGAGAGACGAGAGAUGAAAAAUGAGAAAAAAGCGAGAAAGGCAAAGAAAAACGAGAAUAAUGACGAAAUCAGAGAAUAGGAAUCAGAGUGGCGAGACAAGAAAUUGAUAGGAAAAGAGAUUUAAGACGAAUGAUGAGACGCGAUAAAUGCAAGAGAGAUGAGAGAAGGAAGAAGCUAGAUAGAAUUGAAAGACGAAUGAGGAGAUUCGAGAGAUGGGAAAUGAGAGAGAAACGAGACAGAUGUAUAUAAUUCAAGAUAUA